rnacentral:tRNA from 1 species
GAACUGUGGCUCAGUGGAAGAGCCUCUGCUUUUCAUGCAGAAGGUCCCAGUUUCAGUCUCCAGGAUCUCCU